UCUCUUCCCUCUCUCUCAAAACCCUAGAUCAAACGAGUGCAAGUUCCGUUCUUCAUUCUCAUAUUCAUCAACCGCCACUCUUCUUCCCACAUUCGACGGCACCACAUCUACCUUCUGAUGAUUAUUUUCAAGUAGAUUAAUCCAUUUCUUAUUUGUUCCUCAUUCAAUUAGACUUCAUUUGUUCGCAACCUUCUGUCAGUCUGGGUUUUAGAUCACUCACCGGUGCCGAAAUUGCAGAAAUCGGAGGAAUCGGAGAGUUUUGAGCCCUGGGAUACUCCUUGAAUGCAAAAUUCUGACAGUUUCGGAUGCCCAGCAGCGUCUCAAGAGUUUUAGAGAGAAGUUGACACCCAAGGAGUAUCUCGAGUUUCUUGAUAUCAUGAAGGACUUCAGGGAGGGCAGGCUUGACAUGUUGGGAGUCAGAGAAAAUGUUAUAAAACUAUGCGAAACUCAUCAAGUAAUGUUUCCGCUUUUCAACAUCUAUCUUCCAGAGAGAGAAAAAAUCACAUUCCCACAAGCGCAGAUGAUGUUAAAAAGGCACCCAAGUUUGACAUUGGUAAACUGAUGGAGGCUAAGCACGAAUUGAUAAAAGUUCCGGCAUCUCAAGUGAAAUUAAUGUCUCCCAUUUGAUGAGAAGAUAAUACAUAGACCACACCGACAUGAAUGUUCCUGAAGGGAUAGCUAAGCUUCCUAAUCUUGAAUCACUUCUUAUUUGGGAUAACUUCUUUAGUGGCACACUGCCACAAGAAUUGGCUAGAAAAUGCCCUGAAGCAGGCCUGAGAGUUCGAAAGCUCGCCAUUCAGGGCGCAAUGCAAAUGCGUUGGGCUGCGUCUGGGCGCCUAGACACGCACCUAGGGGGCUUUUGACAGAUUAUCUGUACAAUGUAGUCAUUACUGUUGAAUGCGUUGGAUCCAAAGGAGAAAGCCAUGUCAUAGACUGGAUAUUGGUUGAACAAUACGUUAUUGGAAGACUCGGGCUGCCUUUAUACUGGACCAGCGGUAACAACUCAGUUUUAUAUGACCAUGAUUUGGAGAGACUAAUAAAGUGAGGGACGAAGUCACCGAGGACAUGUCUAUAUGACAAGCAAUAUCAAUUGUGUUUGAAAGAAAUCCAAAACUAAGGAAUAUUUAUAAAUAAUCUCAUUUCUAUCGUAUGACGCUACAAAGGCUGCAUUUUUUUUUGUACUUAUAGGUUGGAGGGGCUUCCUUACAAGGUGUUACAGUGGUGUACUUGUGUAGAAUGGAAGGUUGGUUUGCUGCAGAUGCUAAAACCAUCUCGUGUUGGCUUAUUUGGAAAGAGGUAUUCUGAGGAAGUUUGGAAGAUCUCAAUAGCAGGCUUAUGUCAUGACAAAAAAGGGAAAAAAACUAGAGGGCUCCUCCAAAUCAAACACGGUUGCCAGAAAGGGAUAGAUGGGCGUCGGAACUGGACGGGUCAGGUCAGUUUCCAGUGGGCUCUUGUAGGAGAUUAAUGACAGAGUAUGCAGUACCGUAUUUUCCUUUUCAAAGAGUAAAAUGGGUUCCAAAAAAGAUAAAAUUUAUCUGGGUGGCGUGUAGAACAAGAGUGUUUACCUACUUUGGUUGGUCUACAUAAAAGAAGAAUCCAUAGCGGCUCCACAUUGUGCACGUUUUGUAAUGGCGGAGAUGAAAUGCAACACACGUAUUCGCAUCCUGCUACGUUGCAGCUGUAGUAUGGAACAAAAUUAUUAGUGAGUGGUGUAAUAUACCGCCGGUCUUCGCCUUCUCUUUCAAAGAUCUACCAAGUGUCCGCAAGGUUCCAGGCUACACUCGAAUGAAGAAAAAGGCAGUACAUGUUGUGGUGCUGACAAUAUGCUUGAUAAUAUUGAAGUGUCAGAAUGAUCUCAUACUUUCGAGCAAGCGGGUUCACAUUGAAAGGCUGUUAGGUGAAGUACAACCCACCUCUUUCUUGUGGAUAAUACACCAGGCGGAACAACAUCAUAUGUAGUGGGAAAAAUGGGUGACUUUUGAUUUCCAAAUUUUAGUUUGGGACCCAGACUUAUACUAUCUGGUGGUGCAACGACUAUUGGGGGCAAUUCUGCUAACGCCGGGACUCCUAUCUCGCCAGGAGGUGCUGGAUUUCGUAUGUUUUUGGCUCUGUUUUUUUUUAACUAGACCUUGAUGUUAUUGUUUGUUUUGUCAACAGAGUAGAAGAGUAGAAGAGUAAAAUUGCAUAGCAAUGAAAAGUUUA